CCAGGAAAUCCAUAGUUGCAGGCUUUGGAUCUUCUCUUCACUCCAUGGAAGACCAUUACGGUUAGUCAAUGGUGUCUUGCUUUAUAAUUUUGAUAAUUUCAUGCAAUAAAUGGUCAGCUUUUGGGUGAAGAUCAGGUUCUAUUGUAGCAUCCGGAACAUCCAUGUCAAAAAGGUGUUCCACAUCUUUGCACUUGGUACCAUUUGGUUAACCCAGUGCAGUUUUGAAGUCAUCUGCUAUUCUCUCAGAUUCAGAAGCACCAUGGUCAAAGCAGUGAUCCAAAUUGCAUUCUUUUAUACAGGCCUAUGAUAUCAGACCAAAGUUCAUCUCAGGCAGUUUAUCACGGACUGAAUGGUAACUAGGAAACAAGUUCAAAGGACAGAGCAAUCCCUUGAGAAGGAAAUCAGAGAAAUAAGGAUUUAAGAUAUACUUCCUCAAGCUGGACUGUCUAAAUUUUUGUCAAACCAGAGUCAUCAGGGAAGAAGCUCACUGGUUUGGUCUUUGUUGCAGGAUACGGAAAUAUGCAUUCCUGUCUGUCAACCAAGUAAAGAUCCUAGCAUCGUAAUUAUACCGCAAACUCCACAAUUCAGCCAUCUGGUUGAGCUCUCUACAGACUUGUCGGAAAUUCAUUGGAGCUAAAGGAGUGUCAGCAUGCUGUAGCAAUUGGAGUGACAAUUUUAUUCUUCUCAUCGUUUCUAUGUCAGAUAGUUCAUAUUUUGCACAUAUGCAUCAGCUGUUCAGAAAAAAUUAUAGGUGAUGGACAUUCUACAAUAGCAGAAAAAGGGACAAACUUAGAAUUAUUGCCUUGUUUCUUUUUGAAAGAUCUUGUUAGAUUCAGAUGUACCGGCUUUGAAUUCAAUGGUUUACUUUGGUAGUUCGUGUAGUCUCUUGCUUCACAUGCAUGGGUCAAUCUAAAAGACAAAGACAUGAGAACUGAGAGUCAAUGGAACAGAUUCUAAUG
rnacentral:lncRNA from 1 species